GUUACGAUUGCCCCCGGUCUAGCAGGAGGGUUGAUCGCUUGGAUGUCCUGGUUCCCGCUGCAGAGAGUCGAACGGAGGUCUUUCGGUAGUAAACUGCAAAUGUAGAAUAUCCCCAAGCACGAUAUAAGCAUCAAUAUCCCGGAUCCCUACAACAUGAGUCGAGGCUGCAAGUUGAGGGUCAAAACGAACUGGCUUUACUGGCACAUAG